GGUUUUGGCGCAGUAUCUGGAGCAGACAGUGAGUUGGGAGAAGUUAGGUACCGUUAUUUAUAUAGGUGAGAGUGUCUAUCUAUAGAUUUAAGUGAUUUUUUUACAAUGUAAAUUAAAAUUUAACGAAAUAAAAACUUUAUUUUCACGGCAA